rnacentral:rRNA from 1 species
UACGGGGGGGGCAAGCGUUGUUCGGAAUUACUGGGCGUAAAGGGCUCGUAGGUGGCCAACUAAGUCGGACGUGAAAUCCCUCAGCUUAACUGGGGAACUGCGUCCGAUACUGGAUGGCUUGAGUUUGGGAGAGGGAUGCGGAAUUCCAGGUGUAGCGGUGAAAUGCGUAGAUAUCUGGAGGAACACCGGUGGCGAAGGCGGCAUCCUGGACCAAUACUGACGCUGAGGAGCGAAAGCCAGGGGAGCAAACGGG